rnacentral:tRNA from 1 species
GGAGAGGUGUCCGAGAGGCCGAAGGAGCACGAUUGGAAAUCGUGUAGGCGGCUAUCACCGUCUCGAGGGUUCGAAUCCCUCCCUCUCCG